rnacentral:sRNA from 1 species
ACCCAUUUUGUUUUGUUUUAAUAUAGGUUCUGUGUUUGAACUGGGGUCCUAAUGCUUGCUCAGCAAGUAUUUUACAGAACAAAUAUAAUUCUCUCCCCAGCCCUGCUUUUAUUUAUUUAUGUAACAUUGCUGAUGGCCUGCAAAAGGAGAUAAAUUUAUGUAGGGAAAUAUAACAAGGUGGUAAUUAAAAUAUAUUUCCAUGUUUGUUCAUGUUUGCAGAAGCUGGGUCAGGUGAUUGAUGUUGGAUUGGAGGUUGGAGUAGUGUGUUCAGCAAGCAAAUCUGAGGUCUGCAGAACCUAUAAUCUCAGGGUAGACAUUGUGUGAGUUCCUGGAUUCCUUUGUAACUUAUUCAUUGAGGCAAUGUUUUAAAAUGAACCUCAGAGCUGCUGGAAAACCAGUUCGUCAAGAAAGUCAGUUUGUUCCUGGGGUACAAUGCUGUCUGAAUAACAGGUAGGUUGCCAUGCCCAUUCAGUCUUUCUCUUGAUACAGGAAUUUUGAUCUCCAAUCUACAAAGUUGUGCCGCAUGUACCAUAUUCACUAAUCCAUAAGUCAGCUCAUGAAAGAGGUUUUUCGGGCGAGUGGGAAGCCCUAGAGGGGAUGCUACCUUGUGAGGGUAGAAAAGGUGAGAGAUAGCUGGGGUGACUAAGGCUUUAUUUAUUGUGUCCAUGGUAACUGUGGCAUCUAAAUGGAAACAUACCCCUCAUAGGGGAUGCUCAUUUGGAGCUUGGUGUUGAGAGCACAGAGUGAACAAAUAUUCGGAAGACAGAGUGAAAAUGUGCCUGUGACCUUAAAAUUUACUCAAUGAUCCAGAAACUUCAACAGUAAAGCCAUUAAUCACAAUGCUGUCAGGUAAAACAGAAAGAACGUCUUAGGAUUCUCUUGGAACAAACUGCACACAAUGCCUGUUUCAAAUCCAAACGUCCUGGACUUCAAUGGGUGAUGCAAUUUUUGUUUGCUGACAGUGAUACAACAAAGUGUCAGGGAGGGAUCUGACCUGCUGAGAUGAAAUUGACUAAUUUCUUCUGGAUUUGUAGCCUGGUCUUCCUUGCAUGCUCGUAACACUUGUCUCACAGUUGAACCUUUGUCAGAGAUUCAAAGGUAAGACAGUAAAAUAAUGUUAGAAUAGGACAGCAGAGUCGGGAACUUAGCCUUACAAUGAAUGGCAGCCUUGGUAGUGUAGUAAUGACUCUUUAAUCAUUCCUUCCUUUAAUUUCUUCCGUCUUUGCUUCUGUCCUUUUUUACUACUUUCCUUUCUUUAUUCUGAGUAUGUUCUGUGUGUCAUGUACAUUCUUGUUUGUAUGUCAUACUUGCAUAUGAAUAUUUAUGUACAGAAGCAUAUGGAAUUUCAAAACUGAUAAAAGAUACUUCAGUUGAUUACUCUGUACAUAAUUUUCUGAAGUGUGCUCGCUGAACCCAUAGUUCACCAAUUUUAUGUACCUAAGCUAAAACUCUUUCCUUGAGACCCAUGGUACAAGGACCUUCAUACUGCCACUAUAAAGGCAAGCUGCUAUACCCACUCAGCUUAUUUAUUUGUUUUGUGGAAUCUGCAAUAUAGACUUCCAUCCUCACUCUUUGAGGUAAGCACAUGAUUCUUUGAACCCGACUCCUCUGCAACACCUCCUGGAUUUAUAAAUAAUAUAUUGAAUACUAAAUUGAUUUCUAAAUGGCACCUUCCAUGUGGCCCAAAAUACCUACAAAUGGGUCCCAAAACAAAAUUAUGGGCUUACUUAAAGGAUUAUGAAAGAAAACAUAAA